rnacentral:rRNA from 1 species
UACGUAGGUGGCAAGCGUUGUCCGGAUUUACUGGGCGUAAAGAGCGCGCAGGCGGUCGUACAAGUCGCGUGUGAAAGCCCCCGGCUCAACUGGGGAGGGUCAUUCGAUACUGAUCGACUCGAAGGCAGGAGAGGGUAGUGGAAUUCCCGGUGUAGUGGUGAAAUGCGUAGAUAUCGGGAGGAAUACCAGUGGCGAAGGCGACUACCUGGCCUGUUCUUGACGCUGAGGCGCGAAAGCUAGGGGAGCAAACGGG